rnacentral:lncRNA from 1 species
AUAUUUUGUUUUGAAAAGGUGCUCAAGCUCUGACAUUUUUGGUUUUCAUAGCCGUGAAGUAUUUAUCAUUUGCAUGACUAAUGGCACAGAAAAAAACCUAUUCAUAAGUUUUACAAUCAAGAGUAGAAGGGUUUUCAGCUAACUUCAGUUAUAAAUGCUGAAGAGAGUAUCUUGAGCUGAUCCUCUGGAGAUAAAUUUGGCCUUCAGAACUGCAAUAUCACUGAGCCUGUGAUCCAAAUACCACCCCACAUUUCGUUGGUUUCACAUUCUUGUGCAAGUAACCUCUGGUCUUAUGUGUGUAACUGAGAGAAGAGUGUAUGUUUGUGUAUGCAUGUGUGUUUAUUGUUCCUAAGAAUUGGGCACAAGUUGGAGAUAACUGCCUAUACUGGCAAUCUAUACUGCAGAAUAUACAUUUAAAAAAAUUUUUUUCUUUUAUGUUGCAACUUUUUUUUUGGUUCUUUUAAGCUGUGAUAGUGAUGGUAACUGAUGCCUCUCAUUUUAUUCACCUUACACAAAACAAGCCAGCAUCUGAUCAAAAGUAUUACAUGAAAUCUUUCUUAAACUAUCGAAAGGUGCUUUGAUGAUUUUCUCCUUUGGUUUGUAGAAUUAGGACUGAACUUCUGACUCUAACUGCUACAGUUACCAUCACUUUUCUGUGGUAAAACUACUGAUAUUUGCUCUUCUGUAUAAGGAAAUGUUGCCUAAGGAUGUCUGCUGUUUGUUUUCAGGCCUUUUCCAGUGAGCAUGCUGUCUGUGUAUGUAUGAAUCCCAAAGUGCUUAUUUUGUUUGUUGCUGUUGGUUUUUUGUCUUUUUGAGUUUUUGUUCUUCUCAGUGGUCUUGUGUUAGCACUGGGUGAGCUUUAAUUGUCUCCUUAGCCAAUCAAAUGUUCAAGACUAUGGGGGUCUUUUUUUUUUUAAUUAACGUGUCAUUGUGCAUCUAUUAAAUCUUGAUCAGGGUUUCAAGAAUGACUGCAGUGGGUUUUGGAAACAGACUUAUCAUUAUUGAUUUGGGGUUUCCCAGAGAUAUAGUUCACAGUUAAUUGUUGAGCUCUAAUACAACUGACCAUUUAAAAUUGAACAACAGUUUAUUGUUUUGUAACAAUGUCAGUUGUUAAACUUUGACAUUUCAAUUAAAACAUGAAUUGUAGUUAUAACUCAAGGCAAAUUCAGCAGUUGUAUUUGGAGUUAAAUUAUUUUAACAAAUAAAUUUAUUUAAUGAAACUUCCU